AUGUUUAGAGGUUGGUCCUGCCAACCUCAUAUGAAACUGAUGUCCAAUUGUGUUAGAUGGCGCAUGCGCAUAAGGACUGCACUUUCAUGUUCACAAGUUAUAGCAACCGCUGACGGUACCACGAUGGGCACGAAGGGCAAAAAUGAUGACCAACUUUUACCGGAAAUGGAGGAACUUAUGAGUGUCAUUAGUACAAAGGAAAGGAGAGAGAAUAAGCGUCAAUCAAGGCAUCAGACAAAGGAGAAAGCACACAAGGCAAUAAGAAUGCAAACUGAUGCUACAGAAUAUUGUUACGGCGACCCUGACUUGUUUUUUGUUAGUGAUACCAAUGGUGGAAAAGAACCUCAAGCUGUUGAGUCAGGAGAAGAUGGAGACAGUAGGAAUGGAGAAACUCAAACUCAUGAGGACUCUGAUGAGGUGAUAGAUUCUGAUGAAGAACUGCAGAGGUAUGAAGCUCAACUUGAGGAGUUGAUCGAUGAAGCUUAUGCGCGCAUUAUGACUACAAGAGGCGGAGGAGUGAAACAAGAAACUAAACGUGCCAAGUGUAUUGAUCUCAAUACUGAUGCACAUUUUUACGAGGGUGUUGAAGAAUCAGAUGAUGGUGUGAUAGGGAUGAAGGUUUCUGAUGAAAAUUACGAUCAGGAGGCCAAUCCCCUUUCACCGUCUCUAGGUACAGAGCAGUUAACAAAAGAGCAGCUUCGAAAUAUGUGGUUCAGUCAGGAUGUGUUCCCAUAA
rnacentral:rRNA from 1 species